rnacentral:rRNA from 1 species
GAUGAACGCGGGCGGCGUGCCUAAUACAUGCAAGUAGAACGCUGAAGCUUGGUGCUUGCACCGAGCGGAUGAGUUGCGAACGGGUGAGUAACGCGUAGGUAACCUGCCUCUUAGCGGGGGAUAACUAUUGGAAACGAUAGCUAAUACCGCAUAAAAGUCGACAUCGCAUGAUGUUGACUUGAAAGGUGCAAAUGCAUCACUAAGAGAUGGACCUGCGUUGUAUUAGCUAGUUGGUGAGGUAACGGCUCACCAAGGCGACGAUACAUAGCCGACCUGAGAGGGUGAUCGGCCACACUGGGACUGAGACACGGCCCAGACUCCUACGGGAGGCAGCAGUAGGGAAUCUUCGGCAAUGGGGGCAACCCUGACCGAGCAACGCCGCGUGAGUGAAGAAGGUUUUCGGAUCGUAAAGCUCUGUUGUAAGAGAAGAACGAGUGUGAGAGUGGAAAGUUCACGCUGUGACGGUAUCUUACCAGAAAGGGACGGCUAACUACGUGCCAGCAGCCGCGGUAAUACGUAGGUCCCGAGCGUUGUCCGGAUUUAUUGGGCGUAAAGCGAGCGCAGGCGGUUUGAUAAGUCUGAAGUUAAAGGCUGUGGCUCAACCAUAGUUCGCUUUGGAAACUGUCAAACUUGAGUGCAGAAGGGGAGAGUGGAAUUCCAUGUGUAGCGGUGAAAUGCGUAGAUAUAUGGAGGAACACCGGUGGCGAAAGCGGCUCUCUGGUCUGUAACUGACGCUGAGGCUCGAAAGCGUGGGGAGCGAACAGG